rnacentral:rRNA from 1 species
UUGAAAGGGAAACGAUUGAAGUCAGUCGUACCGACGAGAAAUCAACUUAUCGUGUGUUAACUUGUGGGCGUGCGUGAGUUUCGGCCUCGCUGUUUGCAUGUUUGUUCUUUUUGGGUGUACUUUUUCGUAUGGUAGGCCAACAUCAGUUUUCGAAUAUCAUAAAAUGACCGGAGGAAUGUAGCUUCGAUCUUGUAUUGAAGUGUUAUAGCCUUUGGUAGAUGUGGUGUUUGGGACUGAGGAUUGCAACGAAUAUCCUUUGGGCUAUCCGUCUGAUCUCUGAAAGUUGCUUAGGUGCUGAAAGCGUGCUUACGGUUAUUUAAGUUGACGGUCAACAGGUUAGAACGUGAUUACAUUCGUUAAGGAUGUUGACGUA